rnacentral:rRNA from 1 species
GAUGAACGCUGGCGGCGUGCCUAAUACAUGCAAGUCGAGCGAACAGACGAGGAGCUUGCUCCUCUGACGUUAGCGGCGGACGGGCGAGUAACACGUGGAUAACCUACCUAUAAGACUGGGAUAACUUCGGGAAACCGGAGCUACUACCGGAUAAUAUAUCGAACCGCAUGGAUCAAUAGUGAAAGACGGUUUUGCUGUCACUUAUAGAUGGAUCCGCGCCGCAUUAGCUAGUUGGUAAGGUAACGGCUUACCAAGGCAACGAUGCGUAGCCGACCUGAGAGGGUGAUCAGCCACACUGGAACUGAGACACGGUCCAGACUCCUACGGGAGGCAGCAGUAGGGAAUCUUCCGCAAUGGGCGAAAGCCUGACGGAGCAACACCGCGUGAGUGAUGAAGGUCUUCGGAUCGUAAAGCUCUGUUAUUAGGGAAGAACAAAUGUGUAAGUAACUAUGCACGUCUUGACGGUACCUAAUCAGAAAGCCACGGCUAACUACGUG